GUCCCAACUGACCUCUGCUCUUCUUCUUCUUCUUCUGCAGUCGUAGGUUUGAAGUUGAGCAAGCCUUUCCUUCUUUCUUUUGUCCUCCCUUUUCUUCUUCCUCUGCCGUUAACUCACUGACUUCCACAUCUGGGUUCUCUUCGAUUUCUUCUUAUUGUUUCCGAAACUUACACCACACCCACCUUCCCAUUUCCACACCAAACCAAAACCCCAGAUAAACCCUCCGACUCUACACAACCCACAUCAUCUCGAACACAGAGUCAAGUCAUACUUAACCUUUCCAAUUCCAAUGUUACAAACACAGCCGCCAGUUGAGCUCCCCAUUCCCGGAUGACCCAACACUCUCAAUCUCACCGCAGAUGGCCACAACAUAUCUGACCAAUUCCAGGUUUUGGUUUCUUUUAGGGAGUUGUCACUAUGUGUGAUGUAAAUGAUGGUUUGUGGAUUAUCGACUAGGCUGUUGAACAUAUGCAUAUCCUCAUUGUGUAAAGUCAGGCUGUUGGCGAGGGCCGAAGUUGUUAUCAUUGAUGGUGUACGAUUAGGGGUGAUUCCCAAUAGACUGACUUACAAUACUUUGGUUCAUGCGUAUUGUCAGUUUGUUGACAUAGAUGCAGGGUAUUCUGUUGUGCAUAGAAUGAAAGAAGCUGGGAUUAGUCCUGAUGUAUGUACUUACAAUUCUUUGAUAUCCGGGGCCAGCAGGAAUCGGUCAUUGCCUCGAUGCCUGGAUUUCUUUGAGGAAAUGUUACAAGAAGGUAUACACCCUGAUGUAUGGAGUUACAAUAUUCUGAUGCACUGUUUCUUUAAGUUAGGGAAACCUGAUGAAGCAAACAGAGUCUUCCAGGACAUUUUUCUUGGCGACCUCACUCCUCAUGCGGCUACGUUUAACAUAAUGAUUAACGGCCUUUGUAAAAAUGGGUACACUGAUAAUGCUCUUAUGUUAUUUAAGAAUGUACAACGUCAUGGAUUUGCUCCCACCGUAGUGACAUACAAUAUUAUGAUCAAUGGGCUUUGCAAGGCACGUAGAGUGCGGCAAGCAAGGAAUAUUCUGCAGGACUUUGGGGAAUCAGGUCUUGAGCCGGAUGCUAUAACCUACACUACAGUUAUGAAAAGCUGCUUUAGGGUUAAGCAAUAUGACCGGGGUCUGGAGAUUAUGUCAGAGAUGAAGAGUAAAGGGUAUACAUUCGAUGGCUUUGCGUACUGCACAGUUGUUGCUGCUUUACUUAAGACCGGAAGGAUGGAAGCAGCAAAUGCUUUCAUGGAGCAGAUGAUGAAUAAUGGCAUUAUAUUGGAUUUGGUGUCUUAUAACACCUUACUUAAUAAGCUCUGUAAAGAAGGUAAGUUUGAAGCUGCUUAUAAGUUGUUGGAUGAAAUAGAGAAUGAGGGUUUUUUGUGUGAUAAGUAUACCCAUACAAUCAUGAUUGAUGGAUUGUGUAAGGCAGGCAAUAUAGGUGGUGCUUUUCACCAUUUACAGUAUAUGAAUAUGUUGGGAUUCCAUGAUAACUUGGUUGCCUUUAAUUGCCUGAUUGAUAGCUUGGGUAAAGCUGGUGAAAUCGAUCGUGCAAUGGAAUUGUUCAAUUCAAUGGAGACUAGGGAUUGUUAUACCUAUGACUCCUUGGUGUUCAAUCUUUGCAAGGCUGGAAGGUUCCUUUGUGCAUCUAAGCUUAUGAUGAAAUGUUUAAGAGAGGGAAUAAUAUUACUCUACUCCACCAGGCGAGCACUUCUUGAUGGUCUUCGUAGUUUAGGGUUUACAAAUGAGGCAAGAAAGCUCCGAUCAAAAAUUAUGUUGGCUCGGUUGUUACGUUAAUAAUUUGAUACGGUGUUGCUGUGAGAAAUGGCAUACCAUGAAGAAUUAUGUAAACCACUCCUUGCACUCUAGUUAUGUUGUAAGCAUCUGACAAUUUGGGGUGAUAAACUUGCUCUACAGCAUACAUUAUAGUCGAUAGUACUGUUGAAUCUGAACGCAAGGUGGAUUGUCUAUCCUGUAAUGCUUUGCAUCUAGUCUGCUGGUCCUGCUUGGCUUGUGCAACUUUACGACACUGCUUGCUGUGAUCAAACUACACCCACACUAUGUUUUACUGGGAAAAUCAUUGAUGCCAGUUUCUUCAGUGCUUACUGGGAUGCUGCAUUGUUCAUUUCGGAUGAAACAGAGGACAAUUCGAGAGGGAAACAUUUUUUAUUGAAUACAUCUAAACUUGUGACUAAUUGUUAACAUGAAUUUUGAUAAAAUGAUUUCAUCUGUACAAUUUAUGGCUGCACUAGAUCAGAGAGGAAUUGAAGUUUUGAUUCCAUUAAUGGUUUUCAUUCCUUAAAGAGAGAGAGAAAAAAAACUCCAUUUCCUAUAAGGAUCAAGUUUGUAUUCAUGUUUCAUUAAGGUCAUAAUCUUUUCAAAAGAAAAGAAAAAAAGAAAAGGUGAUAAUAUUAAGUUAUUGGAUAUUCCUUAAUAUUUGUUCUUUUGCUUCUUAACCUUUAAAUGAAAUGAUGUUUUCAUUACUUGCCAGACGAGAUGAAACAUUUUUGUGGAGCAAAGUACUUUUACAGUCGUCCAAAAAUGCUCCUUACUAUAGCUAUAUUUUAAAGUUUCCUCCUAUUUCUUUUUAGUCUCUACCAUUAUGUUAACUUCUUAAUCUUUGCUGAUAGUGGCA